rnacentral:lncRNA from 1 species
UGGGGAUGGCUCUUUCGUUGAACUCGGGUGUAAUACCCAGCUAGACUCCGGUAUCGGAAUUCCUACCGUCCGGUGGAUUCUCGGAUGUCGGAAACCUCUAGAAGGGUAAAAUCAUGUUUUUAUAAAAUGUUUUCAUGUAUUUUAUGGUUUUAAGUAAGAAAGAAAUUGAGUUUUGAAUGAAAAAGACCAUAGAGGGAAAUCCAGGUUCGGCCGCCGAACAUGCAUGAGUUUUGGAGUCACCUUCGGCUUCCGAAGGUGGCCUGGCCAGCCACCUAUAAAAGGCCCCAUGGCCGAAAAUGGGCAAGUUUUCUCCCCUAUUUUCGGCCAACGGUGAGUCCAUGCCCCCCCAUGGUUGGUUUUGAUGAUUUUCCUCAAAUCUUUCAAGUCUUAACAAGUUUUAACUUGGUUUUGAAGAUUUUUGAAGCUAAGAUCAAGUUUUGGAGCUUGAAGACCCAAGGAGCUAGAUUUCUCCCAUCUCCAAGUUAGGAUCGUCUCUCCUCUCGAUCUUUAAGAGGUAAGCUUAGAUCCUACCUUUCUUGUAUGUUUUAAGCAAGUUUUGAGGGGUUAUGGGGUAGAAUGCAUGUUUAGGUUAAUGUUGAGUUUAUGGAUAAUGUGUGUUGUAUGAGUUGCUAUAUGUGUUUGUGUUGGGGUUUAGGUUAGUUUGAGACCCCUAUAUGCUUAAUUGCUUGUGUAUGCAUGUUGUAGAAUAGCUAAAUGCAUGUUUAAAUGGUUUGGUAGGCAAAAUGUGCAUGAGGAGACUGAGUUCUGCCACUUUGGGAGAACUCAGGUUCGGCAGCCGAAGGACUUUCGGCCACCGAACCUGCUUGUGGAGGCAAGCUUUCGGCUGCCGAACCCUGCCCCCGAAAGUUGGACUUUCGGCUCUGGAAGGGAGUUUCGGCCGCCGAAGGUGCCGCCGAACCUGCACGAGUUUCGGCUCUGGAACCACUUUCGGCCGCCGAAGGUGCUGCCGAAAGUGGCUGAGUUUCGGCUCUUGAGGGACUUUCGGCCGCCGAACCUGCCGCCGAAAGUGCCCUGUUCAGCCUUCCUUUGCAUGAUUUCAGUGAUUGUUUUAAGGUGUUUUAGGGGGGUUUUUGGGGAGUAGUUUAAAGUCAUGUUCAUGUAUGUUUGGUCCCUCAUUUGAGUCUACCUGUGUAGGUUCGGACCUGAGGAACCGAGGACCCCAACAGUGAGAUAGCUGCUUCAAUGUCUUUUCAGAGCUAGCCAGAGGUGAGUAGAACUAAACCAUGUUUUAAAUAAUAAAAGUUUUUAGCAUGUUUCAUGCAUCAUGAAUGCCAUGUUUAUAUUAGGUUGUAUUGCAUUAGAAUUCACGAAGAUGAUGCAUUGCAUUAUUUGUUGUUGAUGUGGAUGGAUGUUGGAUGACCCAUUAGUCCUCAAUAUGUAUGAUGAUUAAUGAAUGUCCAAGGCUGCCCAUGUCCACGCGUCCUGGCAUUUAUUUAUGUAUGAUGAUUAAUGAAAGUCCAGGGCUGCCCAUGUCCACGCGUCUUGGCAUUGUGUGAUGAUUAAGAGGAAGUCCUGCGGAGCUCCAUCAAGGGCCGGGCACAUUGGAAUUAGACGGUUAUUGGUGACAAAUCCAUCCGUGAUGUGAAUUGUAUGUGUUGUGAUGCAUUACAUGAAAGCAUGACUUAUGAUAAUGUUUUAUGGUUCUGCUCACUGGGCUUUUUAGCUCACCCCAUUCCCUUAACCCCCAGGUGUGCAGGUACGGGAUAGACCAAGAUGUCAGUAAGAGUAAAGUCAUGUUUAUGUAAUAGUUAGAUGUGGACAUGAAAAUGUUGUAAUGUAAAGUGUUGAACAGUCACGUAAUGUAAUGAUGAUAUUGAGGAUUAGAAUUGUGCUUGACCCUAGUAUGUAAAGUAAAUCCCUUUUGCACAUGAUCUAUAAAAUGUUUUAAUGAUGUUUUAUGCAAACCAAGCUUAAUGUAUGAUAUGUUGCCCCAUUGGAGCAUUUGAUGAGGGCUCCAGUGUGGGGUUUUAUGGUUAUGAGUUUGUGCAUGCACAGGUUAAGCUUGGUAGAUGAAAGAAAAAGUUUAAAGUUUUUAUGUAUAUGUUUGAUCAUGUAUGGGAUUUAGCAGGUAUACAGGAUGUAUGUUAGGCUUGCUACGGGUCCCGGCGACCUUAAGUCGAUCUGGAUCCUAACGUCGGUAGCGGUCCGAUUUCUGGGUCGUUACAUUAGGCUCAUAUGGCAAAUUAACCACGAGUUUCUUUCUUCCCCAAAAUGCAUCUGGACUUUCUGCACAAAUGUUGUUUAGCAUUUCUUCUUAGAUUACCUUUAUCCUCUGUUGUACUUUAGGAUCCAUUAUCCUUUCUUCUGAACUCUUAUAGUUGACUUCCUGUUUUAAGGAAUUAAUGAACUUUGUUUUAUUUUUAACAGUGCUUUUUAACAAAUCAAUUUCUUUUAUCUUUGGUUGCAAGAUAAAAUAGAAAGUAAUUACUCUCCCAUUUAUCUCUGUGCUGAUUCCUUCUUCAGAUAUCUGUUGAAUGGGGUAGAGCAUAUGCAGGAAUGGAUUUCCUAGAAUAACAAGAUGAGAUAAUCCUUUUACCAUUAGGAAUGGGAUUUCGAAACAAGUACCUUGAUUGCAAAUAAUUGUGUUGUUUAAUUUGAACCGUACCGUCAUUUUACUGCCAUUAGCUGUGUUUAAUUCUUCGAUUGUCUUUGAGAAAUACCGCGAAGGGACCAAUCCCUCAUUGAUGCAGUUAAGGUCAGCUCUAGAAUCUAUUAGUGCGAUUGUUUGAAACAUAUACUCCUUAUGGACGACUAUCGUUACCUUGGUAUGCCACUUGUAGGUUAUUACCCUAUCUAUCAUGUUGACAUAAUGAAGAUUGUUGAUGCUUUUAUCAACAUCUUCAGGAUGAUUUUCUUCAGGUUCUUCUGUGGUGAAUUAUUGCUGUUCUUUUAGCAGUUUUAGGAUAUUUAUCCUUUUUUUCAACUCUUUAAUCUCAGUCUUAACCGAGUUGAGCUCUGCCUUCAACUCUAUUAGAGUUGGUUCGUUUGAUCUCUUCGAGUUUUUAACUCUUUCUAGAAUCUCUUUCAAGUCAUAGGGAGACUGCUUGCUUUCUAUUUUUUUAUCCAUCAGAUUAUGAGAAGAAGUUCCACCCUUUUCCCUAUAUAUAUUAAUAUAGGCUUCUAGCUUUUCUCUCUUCUUUUCUGGGUUGUCAAUAUUAUCGAUCAAGUCUAGAAUUAGAUUGUCUUCUUUGGUGAGAACCAAAAGGCCAUUCAUGGCGCAUAGCGAUUUAUAGUAGUCACAUCAGAUUAUGAGAAGAAGUUCCACCCUUUUCCCUAUAUAUAUUAAUAUAGGCUUCUAGCUUUUCUCUCUUCUUUUCUGGGUUGUCAAUAUUAUCGAUCAAGUCCAGAAUUAGAUUGUCUUCUUUGGUGAGAACCAAAAGGCCAUUCAUAGCGCAUAGCGAUUUAUAGUAGUCACAGUUUCCUUCGCAUUCAGUAGUCUCCUUUUGCUCUUCUUCUUCUGUGCUACUUUCUUCUUCUUCUUCUGUCGUAUAAUCUAUGGCAUUGAGUGCCAUGACUUCUUGUUCUGAGUCGAUCUCAUUUAGAAGUACUUUUGCUAACGCUUCUUUCUAAUCUUCUUUUAUCUUCAAAGCUUGAAUUUGCUGCUUAACUCGACACUUAUUAGCGUAGUGACCAACUUUUCCACAUCUGUAGCAAACAAUAGUUUUCUCUGUUUUGCCAUUUCUAAGUUUCGGCUUUUGCUUUAGCUUAUGGGAACGAGCAUGUUCUUGCUUCUGAAACUUUUUUGGUUUAGCCAAAUGUUGAUGAUACUGUCGCCGUUUUCUGUGGCGAAAGUGGUGGUCCUUAUCCUAAUUAUCAUGUUGUCAACCAUAAUAAACACUGUGAUCGUAGAGAGUAUCAAAGAACUCUAAGUCUGUUUAACUGCAUCCUUAAUUACUUAUAUUAGCUUUUAAGAAGUAAUAAUUUUUAAAUCUGGUAUAUAGACUAGAAUACUCAAACUUUCUCAAUCCGGCAAUUGGUGUGCCGUAGAGAUAACUUGAGACACAACGUCACGUACUCAAGUCAGUUGAUGGGAGUAAAAUGCAACCCACUCCUCUAGUUGAUGAAGUGAAAUUGUACUAUAGUCUCGAGUCGCAAGCAUUAACUUUCUUCCCAAACUAGUCUCCUGGAAGUUCUUCGUUCACCUCUACUAUGCCUAAUGAAGGAUGGAAGAAUGAAGCUACUGAUUUUAGAUGACUCAUACAGGAGCAUCAGCAGCAUGACUUUCUCCAAAAAUGAUGAGGGUAUUACCUCUCAGCUGGACCAAAUGAAGGAUAUGCUUAUGCACAUUAUUACUCGAAACACAUCCAGCCAGCCUUCAGCUCCUACUAAUCAAAGUACUUCAUCUGCACCGCCUCUAGAUUAGCCAAAUGUGAGAGGACGUGAUGAUGCUGAUGGUGAUGAUGAGGAUGCUAUAGAUUUGUAGUUCUUCAUCGCUUUAUUGUACUUGUUACCUUCAAUUUUCAAAUUACUUUAAUAUUUAUUUUCUACUAUUUAUAUUGUUUUAUACUUGUAAAUGGUUUGUUAUGAAUGAAUUGAGUGAUUUCUUAUUACUGGAUUGAAUAGUUUCUUGUUAUUGUAUUGAAUUAUUGAUACAUGAGUUGUAUUGAGUGAGUGAGUUUACAGGUAAUCAUGAGAGGUACAAAUAGGGGUAUGGAGGAGUGGAAAAAGGCAAUUAGUAACGGAUUAGUAAUGAAUUUUCCGUUACUAAAAAUUCCAUUACUAUUGUUGGUUAAAUAUAAAAUAGAAUUAUAAUGGAUAAUCCGUUACAAAUCCGUUAUUAAAAAUAUCCGUUAUUAAAA